CUAUGCGCCUUGCCAGCCCGCUCAGUCAGAGUUUGAUCCUGGCUCAGAGCGAACGCUGGCGGCGUACUUAACACAUGCAAGUCGAACGGGGAGUUCGCGGGUAGCAAUACUCGCGGGCUUCUAGUGGCGCACGGGUGAGUAACACGUGAGUGACCUGCCCUUGGGUCCGGGAUACCCCUUCGAAAGGAGGGCUAAUACCGGGUACGUUCUUCUGGCUGCGAGGCUGGGAGAGGACAGGCCGUGGCAACACGGUCGCCGAAGGAGGGGCUCGCGGCCUAUCAGCUAGUUGGCGGGGUAAUGCCACCAAGGCGAUGACGGGUAGCUGGUCUGAGAGGACGACCAGCCACACGGGGACUGAGACACGGCCCCG
rnacentral:rRNA from 1 species